rnacentral:rRNA from 1 species
AUACGGAGGGUGCGAGCGUUAAUCGGAAUUACUGGGCGUAAAGCGUACGUAGGCGGUUAGUUAAGUUAGAUGUGAAAGCCCCGGGCUUAACCUGGGAACUGCAUUUAAAACUGGCGAACUAGAGUUGAGUAGAGGGGAGUGGAAUUUCAGGUGUAGCGGUGAAAUGCGUAGAGAUCUGAAGGAACACCAGUGGCGAAGGCGACUCCCUGGACUCGAACUGACGCUGAGGUACGAAAGCGUGGGUAGCAAACGGGAUUAGAUACCCCAGUAGUCC